rnacentral:misc_RNA from 1 species
AGUGUAUUUGUAUAUACCAUAUGGCCUUCAAUUCAGUACAGUUUUUCUGUGGCCUUUCUGUCUUGUAUUUCAGUAAUCAAUUUUAUGUGACAGCUGAUUCAAUAAAUACCUUCAAAGAAAAAAUCCAUUCAUGAUAAAGAAAUCCAAAUAUAUAAAAAAUGUUUUCUUCUUGAAAUUCUCUUUAUUUAUAAUUGUUGAAUUUGUUUUUUGGUUAUUAAUAAAGAUUAAUUAAUUCUG